rnacentral:rRNA from 1 species
AUUGAACGCUGGCGGCAGGCCUAACACAUGCAAGUCGAGCGCGCGGCGGACGGGUGUGUUAUGUAUGGGGAUCUGCCCGAUAGGGGGGGAUCACUACUGGACACGGUGGCUAAUACCGCAUACUAUCGGAUGACCCUAUAUGGGAUUAGCUAGUCGGUGGGGUAAAGGCACACCUAGGAGACGAUCUCUAGCUGGUCUGAGAGGAUGAUCAGCAACACUGGGACUGAGACACGGCCCAGACUCCUACGGGAGGCAGAAGUGGGGAAUAUUGCACAAUGGGCGCAAGCCUGAUGCAGCCAUGCCGCGUGUAUGAAGAAGGCCUUAGGGUUGUAAAGUACUUUCAGCGGGGAGGCGUUACCCGCAGAAGAAGCACCGGCUAACUCCGUGCCAGCAGCCGCGGUAAUAC